rnacentral:lncRNA from 1 species
GCUAAUCACCUGGCACCGAGCUCGAAGCGGCGCCGAGUCGUUCGCACGCGGAGAGGGAGGGUAGUUAGAGGGCCAUCCUUUUCUGCCGUUAUGGAUUUAAACCCAUAAAGAGGAAACGAGAAACCAGAGGCUCAAAGCUAAGGAAGCUCGCACCUACCGGCUUAACUUCGCACGCCUCUCCAGGAGCCGGGAACCAUCGCCCUUGGGCGCUCCCCGAUGCACGCCGGGAUACGCCUGGCGCCCCUCGGUGUGCUGCAGAGCAUGCCGGGAAAGGCACCUCUCCCGAUCUCCUGGCGCUCACCUCCCGGGCGUUCCUUUCGUGUCCCCUUGAAAGCCCGGUCCUUGGGCUUGGAAUGAGACGGUUUGGGUAAUUAUGGGAGUGUGGCGAGACCCUGACUUCCUUCAGCAAAGAGACAGCUUCUGAUUCAUGUUCGUCUCACCAUAAUAUACUUCCAAAAGUUACACUAGAUGUUAACUGAGCACUAAGGACACUACGUGAAAGACUGGAGUACAAACAUCCAAAGGACUGAAGAAUUUGAAGAGCACUGAAUGUGGGAGAUAGGACAGAGGAAAGGAGUCAAAUGUCUCCAAGAAACGAAGCCUGUGUGCCCUGGAGAAUGAAGAAGCAUCAUCAAAUCGGGGAGACUGAAGGAGGAAUCGGUUUUCAGAGAAAAACAAUUUAUAUUGUCUUAGCUGUGUUAGGUGGCAUACUAUUACAUUCAAGUGAAGCUGUGUAAUAGACAGAGAUGACAAAUUUUAUUCAUUUAUGAAUGCCCCCCAAAAUAUAUAUAUAGUUUUUGCCCUCAUGUCUCUUAUUGGGAUGACAGACAUAAAUCAAAGAAUUCCAUAAAUAAAUAUUAAAAUACAAUUUGUGAUAAAUGCUACAAAGUGGUACAUAUUCAUAUGGAAGCAUAAAGAGAACUGACCCGCUUGAGGAAGCUGGCAGUGAGAGCUGAAGGUAAGAGCAAGAGUUGACUAGGAGACAAGAUGGGGAAAGUUCUAGGCAGAAGGAACAGCAUGUUCCAAAGCCAACAGCAUAGAGACAGAAAGUAGAUUAGUGAGUGCCAGGGGGUGGUGGGGAGCAGAGAAGAAGAAGGGGUGUCUGCUCUUGGGUAUGGAGUUUCUCUUUGAGGCAAUGAAAAUGCUCUGGAAUGAGAUAGUGGUAACAGUUGCACAACUUUGUGAACAUACUAAAAUCCACUGAAUUGCAUACUUUAAAGGGGUAAAUUGUGUGGUAAGCGAAUUAUAUUUCAAUUUUUAGAGAUAAAGAUAAAUGCAAGUUAACAAUAACCAGGAAAAA